rnacentral:rRNA from 1 species
GCGAAUCGCCCUUGGGGUGCAGCAGGCGCGAAAACUUUGCAAUACACGAAAGUGUGACAGGGUCAUCCCGAGUGCCGACCGCUGAGGUUGGCUUUUACCCAGUCUAGAAAGCUGGGGGAAUAAGGAGAGGGCAAGUCUGGUGUCAGCCGCCGCGGUAAUACCAGCUCUCCGAGUGGUGUGGACGUUUAUUGGGCCUAAAGCAUCCGUAGCUGGCUGAACAAGUCCCCUGUUAAACCCACCGAUUUAAUCGUUGGCGUGCGGGGGAUACUGCUCGGCUAGGGGACGAGAGAGGCAGACGGUAUUCCCGGGGUAGGGGUGAAAUCCUAUAAUCCCGAGAAGACCACCAGUGGCGAAGGCUGUCUGCUAGAACGCGCCCGACGGUGAGGGAUGAAAGCUGGGGGAGCGAACCGGAUUAGAUACCCGGGUAGUCCCAGCUGUAAACGAUGCAGACUAGGUGUUUGGACGGCCACGUGCCGUUCUAGUGCCGCAGGGAAGCUGUUAAGUCUGCCGCCUGGGGAGUACGAUCGCAAGAUUGAAACUUAAAGGAAUUGGCGGGGGAGCAC